rnacentral:rRNA from 1 species
CCAGCGAAGUCGCUCGUAUUCAGCCAAAGGCUUGUUGCUUCGGCUCGGCGGAUUGUUAAUCGCAUUCGCCGGGUCGCUUUGUGGCUUGCUGAGGUGCAUUUGCGGGCGUUUGCGCUGAGACUUGCGGGCCAGCUUCUGGACCCGGGCCUAGAGGCCGUCCUCUGGGCGGAACUUGGGCACGGCGACGGUUGUUUGACCUGCUCGUACCACGGCUUGGCCAACGAGCCGGCGCGCCGUCGUGGCUCUCUUGCGGCGGUAUCGCAUGCGAUGCUCCGUCUGAGGGCUGCGGCUGUGCGUUCGGCUCCCAAGUCGGCUCUCGGUGUAAAAGCUGGUCACCUAUCCGACCCGUCUUGAAACACGGACCAAGGAGUUUAGCGUAUACGCGAGCCAUUGGGUGUUCAAAACUCACAGGCACAAUGAAAGUGAAGGCCCAGCCGCUGGGCUGACAUGCGAGUUGGCGGCCUCCGGGCCGUCGAUGCAGCAUGGUCCCGUUCCGAUCGCUUGCGAUGGAGCGGAGACAGAGCGUAUGCGCUGAGACCCGAAAGAUGGUGAACUAUUCCUGAGCAGGAUGAAGCCAGAGGAAACUCUGGUGGAAGUCCGAAGCGAUUCUGACGUGCAAAUCGAUCGUCUGACUUGGGUAUAGGGGCGAAAGACUAAUCGAACCAUCUAGUAGCU